AGAGGGGUGCCCCCGCGCGGGGCUGAGAUCAUACCCUAUGAACUUGAUGCGGUCAAUACCGCCGAAAGGACUUUGUU
rnacentral:ncRNA from 1 species